CAUAGUGCACCGGUGGAAGAAAAAGAAAAACUAUGAGGAGGAGCAAAAUGAAGAGGAUCACCCGCUAAAACCGGUUCAGGCGGUUCGAGAGUGACGCUCCUUUCCGAACGCCUCAGCGUUUUUAGUUUCAUCCUCAGCGAAGCGGGCAGGGACCUGGAGACAGAAUGCCACGAACCCCCACUGCUGCUCCUGCAGAUGUCUGUUAUUCCUCUGGCUGUCACCACGGCAACAGAGCUGGAUCGUCUCAGGGUUCCAAGGGUCCUCAGCAAAAAUAAACAAGCUGUUGCAACAGGGGAGGGACAACUUUCUACAGUAUGGAACUGACUUCCAUCACUCAGUGACCAUAUCCUUCUCAGCGUCACACACAUUCCUGUGUCUUAACAAGGGGCAUGCUGGUUUUUCCACUGAUUGUGCACAAUAAACAGACUCAUGAACAGAACCACACUUGUUCAGAUUUUUGAGAGAUAAAAUAAGAUGCUAGGAUUGAUGUGGCACAACGUUAAAAGGAUGUG
rnacentral:lncRNA from 1 species